AUUGAACGCUGGCGGCAGGCCUAACACAUGCAAGUCGAGCGAGCGGCGGACGGGUGAGUAAUGUAUGGGCACUGCCCGCUGGAGUGGUAUAACUACUGGAAACGGUAGCUAAUACCGCAUACCUUCCGAUCUCCCAUAUUGGAUGAGCUAGUAGUUAAGGUAAUGGCUUACCUAGGCGACGAUCCCUAGCUGGUCUGAGAGUAUGAUCAGCCACACUGGGACUGGGACACGGCCCAGAGUCCUACGGAGGCAGCAGUGGGGAAUAUGGCACAAUGGGCGCAAGCCUGAUGCAGCCAUGCCGCGUGUGUGAAGAAGGCCCUAGGGUUGUAAAGUACUUUCAGUCGGGAGGCGUUACCGACAGAGGAAGCAACGGCUAACGACGUGCCAGCAGCCGCGGUAAUUC
rnacentral:rRNA from 1 species